rnacentral:rRNA from 1 species
AGUGAACGCUGGCGGUAGGCUUUACACAUGCAAGUCGAACGGCAGCACACCAAAAGCUUGUGCUGACGGGCGGAGGGGGGCGUAAGGCAGCGGAAUACGCCCGAACCUACUUUUUAGUUGGGGAAAAGGUAGGGAAAUAUCCGCUACUACCGCAUAAGAAAUACGGGGGAAAGCAAGGGCUCUCCGGACUUUGCCCGACUGAAUGAGCCGAUGUCGGAUUAGGUAGUUGGUGGGGUAAAGGCCCACCAAGGCGACGAUCCGUAGCUGGUCUGAGAGGAUGAUCAGCCACACUGGGACUGAGACACGGCCCAGACUCCUACGGGAGGCAGCAGUGGGGAAUAUUGGACAAUGGGCGCAAGCCUGAUCCAGCCAUGCCGCGUGCAUGAAGAAGGCCUUCGGGUUGUAAAGCCCUUUUGUUGGGAAAGAAAAGCAUCAGGUUAAUACCCCGCUGUACUGACGGUACCGAAAGAAUAAGCACCGGCUAACUACGUG